CCCUUAGAUGUUCUGGGCUGCACGCGCGCUACACUGAUGCGAUCAACAAGUUUUUCCUAUGUCGAUAGACACGGGUAAUCUUUUAAACUCGCAUCGUGAUGGGGAUAGAUUAUUGUAAUUAUUAAUCUUCAACGAGGAAUUCCUAGUAGGUGCAAAUCAUCAGUUUGCAUCGAUUACGUCCCUGCCCUUUGUACACACCGCCCGUCGCUGCUACCGAUUGGUUGAUCUGGUGAAUUAUUCGGACUGCCGGCUGAAGGGGUUUCCUCAUCUGCCAGCGGAAAGUCUUGUUAACCCUAUCAACUAGAGGAAGCAGAAGUCGUAACA
rnacentral:rRNA from 1 species